rnacentral:rRNA from 1 species
GACGAACGCUGGCGGCGUGCUUAACACAUGCAAGUCGAACGAAAAGACGGAAAGAGCUUGCUCUUUUCAGAAUUGAGUGGCAAACGGGUGAGUAACACGUAAACAACCUGCCUUCAGGAUGGGGACAACAGACGGAAACGACUGCUAAUACCGAAUAAGUUCCAAGAGCCGCAUGGCCCAUGGAAGAAAAGGUGGCCUCUACCUGUAAGCUAUCGCCUGAAGAGGGGUUUGCGUCUGAUUAGCUGGUUGGAGGGGUAACGGCCCACCAAGGCGACGAUCAGUAGCCGGUCUGAGAGGAUGAACGGCCACACUGGAACUGAGACACGGUCCAGACUCCUACGGGAGGCAGCAGUGGGGAAUCUUCCGCAAUGGGCGAAAGCCUGGCGGAGCAACGCCGCGUGAGUGAUGACGGCCUUCGGGUUGUAAAACUCUGUGAUCCGGGACGAAAAGGCAGAGUGCGAAGAACAAACUGCAUUGACGGUACCGGAAAAGCAAGCCACGGCUAA